UAGGGAAUCUUCGGCAAUGGACGAAAGUCUGACCGAGCAACGCCGCGUGAGUGAAGAAGGUUUUCGGAUCGUAAAACUCUGUUGUUAGAGAAGAACAAGGACGUUAGUAACUGAACGUCCCCUGACGGUAUCUAACCAGAAAGCCACGGCUAACUACGUGCCAGCAGCCGCGGUAAUACGGAGGUGGCAAGCGUUGUCCGGAAUUAUUGGGCGUAAAGCGAGCGCAGGCGGUUUCUUAAGUCUGAGGUGAAAGCCCCCGGCUCAACCAGGGAGGGUCAUUGGAAACUGGGAGACUUGAGUGCAGAAGAGGGGAGUGGAAUUCCAUGUGUAGCGGUGAAAUGCGUAGAUAUAUGGAGGAACACCAGUGGCGAAGGCGGCUCUCUGGUCUGUAACUGACGCUGAGGCUCGAAAGCGUGGGGAGCAAACAGG
rnacentral:rRNA from 1 species